GCCGGAGUGGUAAAGUGGUUUGAAUUUUGGACUAGGGUUCUGGGAAACCAGUGUUUGAAUCCCUGCUCAGGCA